GAUAAACGCUGGCGGCGCACAUAAGACAUGCUUUUCGAACGAACUUAAUACAUUCUUUUAGAUUGUAAGCGGUUAGUGGCGGACUGGUGAGUAACGCGUGAGUAACCUGCCUAUUAGAGGGGAAUAACAGUGAGAAAUCAUUGCUAAUACCGCAUAUGCUCACAGUAUCGCAUGAUACAGUGAGGAAAGGAGCAAUCCACUAAUAGAUGGACUCGCGUCUGAUUAGCUAGUUGGUGAGGUAGAAGCUUACCAAGGCGACGAUCAGUAGCCGGACUGAGAGGUUGAACGGCCACAUUGGGACUGAGAUACGGCCCAGACUCCUACGGGAGGCAGCAGUCGGGAAUAUUGCGCAAUGGAGGAAACUCUGACGCAGUGACGCCGCGUAUAGGAAGAAGGUUUUCGGAUUGUAAACUAUUGUCGUUAGGGAAGAAAAAAGACAGUACCUAAGGAGGAAGCCCCGGCUAACUAUGUGCCAGCAGCCGCGGUAAUACAUAGGGGGCAAGCGUUAUCCGGAAUUAUUGGGUGUAAAGGGUGCGUAGACGGGUGUCUAAGUUGGUUGUGAAAUCCCUCGGCUCAACUGAGGAACUGCAACCAAAACUGGAUAUCUUGAGUGUCGGAGAGGAAAGUGGAAUUCCUAGUGUAUCGGUGAAAUGCGUAGAUAUUAGGAAGAACCCCAGUGGCGAAAGCAACUUUCUGGACGAUAACUGACGUUGACGCCCGAAAGUGUGGGGAGCAAACAGGAUUAAAUUCCCUGGUUAUCCCCAACUGAAAAACUAUGGAUACUAGGUGUAGGGGUGUUUAAGCACCUCUGUGCCGCCGCAAACGCAUUAAGUAUCCCUCCUGGGGAGUGCGGCCGCAAGGUUGAAACUCAAAGGAAUUGACGGGGGCCCGCACAAGCAGUGGAGUAUGUGGUUUAAUUCGAAGCAACGCGAAGAACCUUACCAGGGCUUGACAUAUAGAGGAAUAUACUAGAGAUAGUAUAGUACUUCGGUACCUCUAUACAGGUGGUGCAUGGUUGUCGUCAGCUCGUGUCGUGAGAUGUUGGGUUAAGUCCCGCAACGAGCGCAACCCCUGUCCUUAGUUGCCAGCACGUAAAGGUGGGAACUCUAAGGAGACUGCCGGUGAUAAAUCGGAGGAAGGUGGGGAUGACGUCAAAUCAUCAUGCCCUUUAUGUCCUGGGCUACACACGUACUACAAUGGCCGUGACAGAGAGAAGCGAAGUAGUGAUGCAGAGCAAAACUCUAAAAGCGGUCUCAGUUCGGAUUGAAGGCUGAAAUUCGCCUUCAUGAAGCUGGAAUUAAUAGUAAUGGCAGGUCAGCAUACUGCCGUGAAUA
rnacentral:rRNA from 1 species